AUUUUUCUUACAUUUGACAUAAGCACCUGUUUCAUUUAAAAAACUAAGAAAAACAUAACUAUGAUGUCAUAACAUUUUCAAAUAUGGCUGUAACAACUAUAUGUAAUAAUACUAUCAAGAGAAAAGAAGAAGUUAGUGGGUAAUUUGUUUUUUAAUUACACUUCAUGCAUAAUAUCAGAGAAUUCAGACUAUUUGGCAUUAUUCGAAAACAAGAGUAACGAACAUUCUUAAGUAUAUCAAGUUGUUAUACCUGCUCUACUUCCAAUAAAAUAAUA
rnacentral:lncRNA from 1 species